UACGUAGGGUGCAAGCGUUUAAUCGGAAUUACUGGGCGUAAAGCGUGCGCAGGCGGUUAUGUAAGACAGAGGUGAAAUCCCCGGGCUCAACCUGGGAACUGCAUUUGAGACUGUAUAGCUAGAGUACGGUAGAGGGGGAUGGAAUUCCGCGUGUAGCAGUGAAAUGCGUAGAUAUGCGGAGGAAUACCGAUGGCGAAGGCAGCCCCCUGGGAUAACACUGACGCUCAUGCACGAAAGCGUGGGGAGCAAACAGG
rnacentral:rRNA from 1 species